GAUGAACGCUGGCGGCGUGCCUAAUACAUGCAAGUCGAGCGAACAGACGAGGAGCUUGCUCCUCUGACGUUAGCGGCGGACGGGUGAGUAACACGUGGAUAACCUACCUAUAAGACUGGGAUAACUUCGGGAAACCGGAGCUAAUACCGGAUAAUAUAUUGAACCGCAUGGUUCAAUAGUGAAAGACGGUUUUGCUGUCACUUAUAGAUGGAUCCGCGCCGCAUUAGCUAGUUGGUAAGGUAACGGCUUACCAAGGCAACGAUGCGUAGCCGACCUGAGAGGGUGACCGCCCACACUGGAACUGAGACACGGUCCUGACUCCGACGGGAGGCAGCAGUAGGGAAUCGUCCGCAAUGGGCGAAAGCCUGACGGAGCAACGCCGCGUGAGUGAUGAAGGGCUUCGGAUCGUAAAACUCUGUUAUUAGGGAAGAACAAAUGUGUAAGUAACUAUGCACGUCUUGACGGUACCUAAUCAGAAAGCCACGGCUAACUACGUG
rnacentral:rRNA from 1 species